GAGCAGAAAAUGGCGUGCUUUGCUUUGCAUUGAAGGUUGGCAAUAACAUAAAGCGAUUCUCGGUGCCCAUCAAAUUUCGUUUUCGUUUUGAUUGUGGCCUCGAACUCGCGACAUC
rnacentral:snoRNA from 1 species